rnacentral:rRNA from 1 species
UACGAAGGGUGCAAGCGUUAAUCGGAAUUACUGGGCGUAAAGCGUGCGUAGGCGGUUCGUUAAGUCUGUCGUGAAAGCCCUGGGCUCAACCUGGGAAUGGCGAUGGAUACUGGCGAGCUAGAGUCAGGUAGAGGGUGGCGGAAUUCCCGGUGUAGCGGUGAAAUGCGUAGAGAUCGGGAGGAACAUCUGUGGCGAAGGCGGCCACCUGGACCAUGACUGACGCUGAGGCACGAAAGCGUGGGGAGCAAAC